AGAGCCUGCUCUCCGGGUGACGAGCGGCGGACGGCUGAGUAAUGUCUGGGAAACUGCGUGAUGGAGGGGGAUAACUACUGGAAACGGUAGCUAAUACCGCAUAACGUCGCAAGACCAAAGUGGGGGACCUUCGGGCCUCAUGCCAUCAGAUGUGCCCAGAUGGGAUUAGCUAGUAGGUGGGGUAAUGGCUCACCUAGGCGACGAUCCCUAGCUGGUCUGAGAGGAUGACCAGCCACACUGAACUGAGACACUCCAGACUCCUACGGGAGGCAGCAGUGGGAAUAUUGCACAAUGGGCGCAAGCCUGAUGCAGCCAUGCCGCGUGUAUGAAGAAGGCCUGGGUUGUAAAGUACUUUCAGCGAGGAGGAAGGCAUUAGGUUAAUAACCUUAGUGAUUGACGUUACUCGCAGAAGAAGCACCGGCUAACUCCGUGCCAGCAGCCGCGGUAAUACGGAGGGUGCAAGCGUUAAUCGGAAUUACUGGGCGUAAAGCGCACGCAGGCGGUUUGUUAAGUCAGAUGUGAAAUCCCCGGGCUCAACUUGGGAACUGCAUUUGAAACUGGCAAGCUUGAGUCUUGUAGAGGGGGGUAGAAUUCCAGGUGUAGCGGUGAAAUGCGUAGAGAUCUGGAGGAAUACCGGUGGCGAAGGCGGCCCCCUGGAC
rnacentral:rRNA from 1 species